GCCGGACAUGGUGGCGUAUGCCUGUAAUCCCAAUGGCUAGGGAGGCUGAGGCAGGAGGAUCGCAAGUUCAAAGCCAGCCUCAGCAAAAGUGAGGCACUAAGCAACUCAGUGAGACCCUGUCUCUA
rnacentral:sRNA from 1 species